rnacentral:rRNA from 1 species
CCUACGGGAGGCAGCAGUGGGGAAUAUUGGGCAAUGGGCGCAAGCCUGACCCAGCAACGCCGCGUGAAGGAAGAAGGCCUUCGGGUUGUAAACUUUUUUUAAGAGGGAAGUGCAGAAGACGGUACCUCUUGUAUAAGCCACGGCUAACGACGUGCCAGCAGCCGCGGUAAUACGGAGGUGGCAAGCGUUGUCCGGAUUUACUGGGUGAAAAGGGCGUGUAGCCGGGCUGACAAGUCAGAUGUGAAAUUCCGGGGCUCAACCCCAGACCUGCAGUUGAAACUGUUGGUCUUGAGUAUCGGAGAGGCGGGCGGAAUUCCUGGUGUAGCGGUGAAAUGCGUAGAUAUUAGGAGGAACACCGGUGGCGAAGGCGGCCUGCUGGACGACAACUGACGGUGAGGCGCGAAAGCGUGGGGAGCAAACAGGAUUAGAUACCCCAGUAGUC